UGGCUUUCUGUGAGGAGGCAAAUGACCUGUGUUAAUUAAGAACCUUUGCUGAAAUUCAGAUUUUAUCUUUAAUUUUUUCUUAACCAGGAAUUCCUAUUAAGAAAUACUGACAUAACAUUACAGUAAAAAUAACGAGCAUUAUUUCAGAGAAUAUGGCUCUGUGACCAACUUUUCAAAAGAACUCGCUUUUUCCUUGGACAGGAAAGAAGAGAGUAUAUAUUCAGUUAUAAAUGGCUUGGAUAAAAAGAACUCCAAGGAAAAUCUGGGGGAAAAUGGUAUUAAUUAUAUUGUGAGUAUGUAAUAUUUCAAGGUAGGUGAAAACUACUUGGUGCCUUUGGAUAACUAUUAAUUUACAGUUUGAUAGCCUGGACAGCUAUUGAUGAUGGCUGAGAUAAAACGCUUGAUAAGUUAGAAUUGCUGGAAGUGUAUUGGAGAGAUACUUGAAUUAGGGUUUUGCUCUUAGAUUGAAAAAUGGCUUUUACUAUCAAAAAAUGAAAAACACUUUUGCAGAGUCCCACUGUAAAAACAGCUAGGAGAUUCAUUACAGUAAUUGCUGAAAAGCCAAGUUCAGUAGAAGCACAUAUGGUCACCUGCAAAUUUUAGAGAAUGAAUUAAUCUAACUUCCAGAAAUUACCAGGACAGAGAGCAUUUAAAUUUAUUCGUGUUAUGUCUUUUUGAUCUUACGAAGUUAGAUCUUGCUGUAAAACUCUUGACACAAUUUCUUUUAUAUUACUUAGUUUUGAACGGCAUGAUGAGAGUCAUCACUUAAACCAAAUAGUUAAUCUUCUAAAUACAAGCUUUUCAAAAGUGGGUGUCAAGCCACAGUAGUCUCUUCCUUUUAACUCUUGCGUAACAGAGGGAGGCUUCCGAGUCUAGGAUUGACUUUACCUCCCUUUCCUGCAUAACCAACCCAAGUGGUGUUACUGGAGUUGGUACAGGAGCUCUGUUGGCAGGAUACAAGCUGCCAGAAGAGUAACUGUUGCUUUAAACGUCUCUUGUGGUGUUUUGCAAAACAGAAUGUACCAAACGUAACAUUAAUUUGACUCCUGUCUCUGCAUCACAAUUUAGCCCUUUUAUAACUUUGUUAACGGUUGCUUUGUAAAGGCUUAAUCAGCAACUGCAAGUUUUUGUGAGGAAGACCCAUGCUCCAGGUUGGAAGCGCCACCUCUGCUGCGCUCACAGCUGGAACCAGCAGUACAGAGGACGGAGGUAGGGGUAUGCCCCGGGGGGAGCGGGGUUGGGAAUCGCUGUCCUCGGCGCUUAUGGUGAGCAUCCCAGGAGUGCCCUCUGCCAUGGAGGGGAAACACUUUGCUCACAGCUGCCGGCACUGAGGCUUUGCAGGACUUCUACAAUCAUGCUAAAGGAAGUUACAGUCUAAAAGAAGUAUUUUUAUCUUAACGGUUUUGAACAUCUGUGCCAACCACCAAGGUGUCAUAAACUGUUGUAUUCCUUGCUACUUGUUAUGCAUUGUGCCACUUAUAAAGAAAUCUAAGUCACAGCUAAUGACAGGAUCACACUUUGCUUUGCUUCCACCUCCCGCUGUGUCAGAGAGUCGAGGCAGCAAGGAUGGCCUUGAGCCCCAGACACGACUGGAAGGAAGGAGAGAGGACUUCUGAGAAGCACUGUCUGAAAGAAAACUUGAAGAUGGUUGAUGAUGAAAUCUAAACCAAAGGAAACCGUGUUAGGGAUAUAUGUAGGAUCUUGGGAAUGUGGUAGGUCAGCCCCAGAAAACCAUGCAAGCAUAUUACCUGAAAGAGUAAUCUGUUCCUUGACCUUAUCUCUCAUGUAAGUAACAACCCCCCAUUGCGUAUACUCCCACUUUAAGCCUCUAAGAUUCCAGCCUCAGUAGUUUCUGGGGAGAAGACCAAGAUAAACUAAUCCACUGUCAUCAUCCAAACCUGGUGUUUGCCUGCAAAUACAGAAUAGAGCUCUCCUAUUCAUUUGAUGGAGGGUUCUCCUCAAAGCUUAAACAUAAAUGUGUUUGACACUAUAAUUGUUUUGCUCUAUGAUCUUGGGCAGAGGUUGAGCUGAAUAAUGACGUUUCUGUCCCAGUUCCACUCUAACCUCAUCUAACCACAAGACAUCCUCCUUCUUCCCCUUUUCAGGGAACCCCCGGCUCCAUGUCAGAGUCUCAAGGGAGCUGGAGGCCCUAGGAAAUCCAACCAGCUGAGAACUGCUUUCUGUUCCUGACAGACUUUGUCACUGAUGCUGUCAUGGUGCCUGACUCAAAAUGGUCCUUGAUUCGUGAUCCCUUUGCCUGGACUUAGCUACAGGACACAAGAACGUCUUGGUCGUGUCUCCCAAAACCUCCCUAUGUCUGGAAACUGGAGCAGACCACGUCCCAGAUCCAAGAGAGGUGGCCUGAAUGGUAACGCUUACUCUUUCCUGUACAUAAGAAAAGAGGAAACGGAAUUGCAGAGGGGGUUCCUAUUCCGCUACCCUCAAAGGAAAGGAAGCAGCAUGAGCAUGAAUCUCCUGCCUGGAAGAAUGAAUCAGCCAUCUGGCAGCUUGAGUUUAUUCUGAUCUUCUCUAGUGGUGAACCUCUGGCCAUUAAUUCAGACAUGGAAUUGGUAUCUACCCUCUCCUUGCUCAGUUUCUUAACUGGGUGACUGAUCAAGAGCUCUCUUUGGAUCAAGCAUAGUAAAAGUCCCUGUUGUAAAGUCUUUGUUAAAUCCUCUCUGAACUGGGUUCAAUAUCAGAAAUGGUGGACUGUGAAGCUCCUAAAGAGUAGCUAUUAUGAGAAAGAUGACACAGUCCUGUAGAAUACUUUCUCCUACAGUUUUCCACAGAACUUCUUUUCUAUCAGAUAUAAAUCCUUUCUAGGAAGGUCAGAAUUUAAAAUAUCUCUAUUUCCUUAUGCUUGGAUAACACUUUUUUUUUUUCUUUUACAUUUUUUCAUUGUAUUGGAAAGGAUGCUAGAGUGCUAAAACUAUAUAGAAACUUCAGGAUGUUCUUUGAUUUCUUCACAAAGUCUGAACAGAUGGUAGAAGCCCAUUCUGGAAUUGUUGGCUUAGAAAGAAGUGAGUGGUGUGCUAGCAGAGGAACUGCUUUUCAUCUCGUCUUCCCUGUUGUACCAAGUGGAAGGCUCAGUCCCAGAAGCAUGAUCAGUUCACGGGGAAAAUGCAGAAUUUAGGCUUUUCGGAGAGCCAGUUUUGUCCCCCAUAAAGACAACAAAUAAAACGGUUAAGAACUUG